AGAAAUGAAAGGAGAGCCUGUGCAGAAGGAUGCAUUUCCCGGAGGAAGCAGUGGUUCUGUGCCAGCCUCGGCUGCUGGAAGGGAGGCCAUGCCAGGCACAGGCACAGGAGAUGAACCUGCCGGUGAAGGCCCCACAUCCAGGACUGAGGCUCUGGGAGAUGCUGAGGGUGUGUCUGCGGGGAGGACUUCUCCAGCUCCAGGGCUGGAUGCUUGGCCCCAACCCAGCUCCCAUGGCAGGGGUCCUCCAAAAGGAAAGACCCAAGUUUUUGCUGCCAAAAAGUCUCAUGACUCAGAUGAAUUCCUGAGACAAACACAGAAGGAAGCACCCGGAGGACAAGUGAUGGACCAAAAGACUGUUCAGGAGGAGGAACACUCAGGGAGAAGCAGUGGCUCAUUGGCAGCCCCUGCUGCAGGAAGGAAGGCGAUGCCAGACAU